UGCCUCUCAUUUCUUUACUUUUCUUCUUUACCCGAUCAGUCAAUCUCAAUCUAUUGCCCUUUUUUCAUAUUCUACACCAUUCUAUUAUAUCAUACGAUAUUAUAUUAUAAUAAUAUUUUGUUAAUAUAGUUACAAAUUAUAUCGGAUGAUCAAUGAUAUUAUGUUAAUUAUAUAAUAUUAUAAAAUCAUUCUAUAUAUCAU
rnacentral:lncRNA from 1 species